rnacentral:tRNA from 1 species
GGUUCUAUUGUGUAAUUGUUAGCACUCUGCACUUUGAAUCCAGCAAUCCGAGUUCAAAUCUUGGUAGGACCU